AGCAGCCGCGGUAAUUCCAGCUCCAAUAGCGUAUAUUAAAGUUGCUGUAGUUAAAAAGCUCGUAGUUGAAUUUCGGGAUCAAUAUGUUGGUCGUGCCUCGGUACGUACUAGCUUAUUGGUUUCUUCCUUCUGACGAACCAUAAUGUCAUUUAUUUGGUGUUAUGGGGAAUCAGGACUGUUACUUUAGAAAAAAUUAGAGUGUUUAAAGCAGGCUCACGCUUGAAUACAUUAGCAUGGAAUAA
rnacentral:rRNA from 1 species